UAGGGAAUCUUCGGCAAUGGGGGGAACCCUGACCGAGCAACGCCGCGUGAGUGAAGAAGGUUUUCGGAUCGUAAAGCUCUGUUGUUAAGGAAGAACGAGUGUGAGAAUGGAAAGUUCAUACUGUGACGGUACUUAACCAGAAAGGGACGGCUAACUACGUGCCAGCAGCCGCGGUAAUACGUAGGUCCCGAGCGUUGUCCGGAUUUAUUGGGCGUAAAGCGAGCGCAGGCGGUUAGAUAAGUCUGAAGUUAAAGGCAGUGGCUCAACCAUUGUAGGCUUUGGAAACUGUUUAACUUGAGUGCAGAAGGGGAAAGUGGAAUUCCUAGUGUAGCGGUGAAAUGCGCAGAUAUUAGGAGGAAUACCGGUGGCGAAGGCGACUUUCUGGCCAUAAUCUGACGCUGAGGCUCGAAAGCGUGGGGAGCGAACAGG
rnacentral:rRNA from 1 species